rnacentral:rRNA from 1 species
GGCGUAAAGAGCUCGUAGGCGGUUUGUCGCGUCUGCUGUGAAAAUCCAAGGCUCAACCUUGGACCUGCAGUGGGUACGGGCAGACUAGAGUGCGGUAGGGGAGAUGGGAAUUCCUGGUGUAGCGGUGGAAUGCGCAGAUAUCAGGAGGAACACCAAUGGCGAAGGCACAUCUCUGGGCCGUAACUGACGCUGAGGAGCGAAAGCGUGGGGAGCGAACAGGAUUAGAUACCCUGGUAGUCCACGCCGUAAACGGUGGGUGCUAGUUGUGGGCCACAUUCCACGUGGUCCGUGACGAAGUUAACACAUUAAGCACCCCGCCUGGGGAGUACGGUCGCAAGACUAAAACUCAAAGGAAUUGACGGGGGCCCGCACAAGCGGCGGAGCAUGCGGAUUAAUUCGAUGCAACGCGAAGAACCUUACCAAGGCUUGACAUAUAGAGGAAACGUGCAGAAAUGUACGCCCCGCAAGGUCUCUAUACAGGUGGUGCAUGGUUGUCGUCAGCUCGUGUCGUGAGAUGUUGGGUUAAGUCCCGCAACGAGCGCAACCCUCGUCCUAUGUUGCCAGCACGUAAUGGUGGGAACUCAUGGGAGACUGCCGGGGUCAACUCGGAGGAAGGU